rnacentral:sRNA from 1 species
GGAUUGCGUGAGGGAUAAUAGUGGAGCUCUUUUUAUAACUGGUAUUUUUUACCAGUUAUAAAAAAGCGGGAACGAAUAGCCCGACCCGCC